GAUACGUGGCAUCCUCUGAUUUGUUGGUUUAAUUGAUUUUUUAUAAAUGUUAAAGUUUGAUUUGGAAGGUAUUUUUGGAAAGGGAUUUUUAUGAAACCAAAGGAGUUUGCGCCCCUUCUUCCCUAUGAAACACACUCUCUCUGUCUAGAAAUUUCAUUUGAAACUCUCGGUCCCAAAGUCUCCGUCCACUCUCACUCGAUUAUUGUGAACUCUUGGCAGGCCACCAAAAUCGUCUUUCUUCAUCCAGGAAGUCCGCCAUUAAAAUCGUUUGUCUUCGUCUACUAUUGUAGUGUUGGGAGAAAGUCUCGAUAGGGGCCAGCGUUGUCAUCUUUUCUCGAAAGAGCAAAAGAAACAAAAAGUUUCUGAAAUAAAGACUGGAAUUGAUGAAGUUGAAGCUUUGAUUCGAAAAAUGGACCUCGAGGCAAGAAGUUUGCAGCCAAACGUCAAUGGUGUGCUUCUUGCUAAGUUGCGGGAGUAUAAAUCGGAUCUAAACAAUCUUAAAACUGAAGUGAAGAAAAUUGUAUCUGAAACCUAUCAUUCACUCGAUGUAUCUGAAAGAAUGGAGACAAUUUAUCUGCAGUUGUGAUUUGCUUCCAGCAGCAACCUCCUCCUCGCAACUUGGCGGCCCCUCGGCCUAGAGUGCACUGGAGUUUCUCUGCUUAAGGUUUGAAGAGUUGCAGAGUUUCCUUGAUAACUUGGAUUGGCAGUUUGAUGUAUGAGCCUCGACAUCUUCGUUGCCUCCUAUUGGUGGUGGUGAUAUUUACACGUCUUCUGCAGAGGUACAUCAUUUGCCUUCAAGGGUGGUUUCUUGGUUUGUCCAGAUUUUACAAGAACAGAUGCAAGACCUUCAAUGGUGGAAUUCUUGAUGAUUGGUUUGUUCAAUUUCUUAGUCUCCUCAUUGGCUAGCAGAAUGAAGAACAAUGCCUUUUCUAAAGAAUACCAAGGAUCCUUCUUUCAUGAAAAGCAAACAAACCUAGAAGAUGAACAUGACAAGAUAUUCAUAGUACAUUGAGUCUAUAGAAGCAAAAGAGAAGCAAGUGAUACUUUUGUAGUCUUAGUUGAACUAAUAAAUCUGCUAGUGUUUAGUAUGGUAUUUAUCAUUGUAAAUGGUUUUGACAUAGUGCUAACUUAGAUUUAGAUUGAUAAGUUUGUUCAUUAUGAGUAUAUAUUAAAAUUGUGGUUAUUGAAUAGGUAACACAUUAUAAUAGAUUUAUUAAUGUAAUUGCU